UCCCAUUUUCAGCGCGACAUUGACGGUAUAACACGUUGUGGAAUAUACUUGCUUGUAUUCAACACUGUGGAAUAUACCUGUCGCGUGCACGGACUACUUUUUAAAUGACGUCAUGCGAUAUGCGCUAAAAUUAGGUCGAUAUUGUUUGGUUCAUUGAUCGAAUUUUAAGGUCACCCAUUAGAAGAAAAUGUGCAUAUGUUGCAAAAAAUAUAUAUAUGUCAUAUUCAACAAAAGAACUGUUGAAAUAAAAUAUAAAAUUACACGAUUUUUGUUUUGUUAUUUUUUUAUUUAUAUUUACUUUACCACUAAAUGAUUUUUCAUAAGAAACAAAGUCGACAAAACUUAAGGCUUACUAGUAAGCUUCAAAAUUAUACGACCUUCAACCUUUAAAUCUAGUCAUAUGACAUCAUUUUUCGCCAUCCGUAUAAUGAAUCAGCUGAUUGAUGGCGUCAUAAAAUGACAUACUUAUUGCGUCAUUUUCCCCAUUUUUUGACGAUUUAUUAUAAACGCGAUUUAUUUCACAUGUUUUCUACAUGUACUGUAUGUCGACAUAUCUGAAUUGUCAAUUGAUCACAUUUUCCUUAUUUCGUGUAAUGUGCAUUGUUUAUAACCAAAGCAUAUACUUUUGACAUUUACCUUAAAUAUUAAGAAUGUACAACAAGCCAUACACAUAUCGCACAGUUCAUGAAUAAUCUGCUAUGUUUGCUUUCCUAUUUAAUUCACGUUAGGCAUAGAGCUGUGUAAAGUAUAAGAUGGUAAAAAUAGCACCACACUGGAAUUGGGAACGUCCCAUUUUGUACACGGGUAUUUUCUACUCAUUUAUCUUUUGUGUACUGGAAUGUUUUCCAUUCUUUGUGUAUUUAUAUAUUAAAUUAUUUUUUCGUACAAUAAGGGCAUUUACCAUAGAUAAAUAAAACAUUGUGCAAGUUUAAACAUAAUUAUGUUUGUAUGCAGAAAUCUGCAAAUGCAACCGAGUUUACCAACGGCUAUUAUUAGAUAAACUGCUCCGGUUCAUUUGCAUAACAGUAAUGUAGAGUACAUGACGUAGCGUGUGACGAAGAAGAAAGUUAAUCGCGUUCAUAAACCCAUUUGAAUAAAGUGUUAGAAUGGCAUAAGGGUCUUUAUUUACCUAUGCUAAAAUAAUUAUUAAAGACCCUAGAUGCAAAAUCGUCAAUUAUUGAGUUAAAUGGAUUAUUAGAUGGAUUUUAAAGGAUAAUUAAAGUUGCUUCGGACGAAAAGGCGUUUUAGAGUUUGGAUGCGUAAGAAUUGAACAAAUUAUACAAGUGUCAGAAGACGAAAUGGGGAUUUUGAGCCCAUACAAAAUAUUACAACCUGUUUGUUGUGGAAAUCUGCAGCAGCGCUGUUUUAAAGGCACCGGCGUGUGUUGUAUAUGACUGAUCUCCGACCUUGGAAUAAGAACAGCUUGUUAUGUUUUUGUACAUUGACCUAAUUCUCUUGGUUGUAUAUAAAUGUAUUAUGUCUAGACGAUUUUCUUUCUUUUUUAACCCAUUUAUGCCUAGUGGACUCUCCCCUCCUUCUAAAUUGGAUCAAUUUAUUUCCAAAAUUAGGGAUGUCAAGUAUAUUUAUUUCUAUAUUUAGAAUAUUUCUUACGAAAAUUCCUUAAAGCAAAC